GGAGAGAAACACUAUGAAUGUAAUGAAUUUGGAAAAUUUAGCAAGAAAUCAAACUUUACCCAACAUCAAAGAAUGUACACAGGAGAAAAACCUGAUGAGUGUAAAGAAAAUGAGGAAGCCUUGAAGAAGUUAUACCAUACUCAAAAUGAGAGAACUCAUGCAGGAGAGAAAGUCUAUGAUUGUAAGAAAUGUGAGAAAUUCUUUCAUGAAAAAGCAUGCCUUACUCAACAUCAGAGAACCCACACAACAGGAAAACCCAGCAAGUGUAAUGAUAGUGAAAGAGUCUUAAAGAAGGAAUCUUGCCCCACUCCCAAUCAGAGAAUUAAAACAAGAUUAAAACAAGAGAGAAAAACUGUAAAGGUAAUAAAUGUGAGAAACCUUUCUUUGAGAAGUUGAAACACACUCAACAUCAGAGAAGGCACUUGGGGAAAAAAAAUAAUGGGCGUAAUGAAAGUGGGGUGCCUCAAGUAGGAAGUCACAACUUACACAAAGCCAGAGAGCUCACAAAAAAAGAGAAAACCUAUGACUGCAAUAAAUGUGGAGAAAGCUUCCAUAAGAAAACAGAUCUCAGAUAGCAUCAGAGCACACACACAUGGAAGAAAACCCUAUGAAUGUAAUGAAUGUGAAAAAUUCUUCUUUGUGAAGUCCAACUACACUGAACAUCAGAGAACUCACACAGGAGAAAAACCAUAUGAAUGUAAUGAAUGUGGAAAGUCCUUCUGCCAGAAAUGAGCCCUCACAGUACAUCGGAGAACUCACAUGGGAGAGAAACUAUAUAAAUGCAAUGAAUGUGAGAAAACCUUCUGUGUGAAAUCAAACCUUACUCAACAUUGAAGGACUCACACACGGUGAGAAACCCUAUAAAUGUAAUGAGUGCUGGAGAUCUUUCUGUGUGAAAUCCAACCUUGUCGUGCAUCAGAGAACUCAGGAGAAAAACCCUACAGAUGUCCUGAGUGUGGGAAAACCUUCUAUGAAAAGUCAGCCCUCACAAAACAUGAGCGAAUUCACACAGGGGAAAAACCCUAUGAAUGUAAUGAAUGUAGAAAAACCUUCAGCCAGAGGUCAGCCCUCACCAAACAUCAAAGGAAAACACACAAGAAGAAAACUAUUAUCAACACCCUCCAUGUGCAGAAA
rnacentral:sRNA from 1 species